UGAGGAAUAUUGGUCAAUGGGCGGGAGCCUGAACCAGCCAAGCCGCGUGAGGGAGGAAGGCCCUAUGGGUCGUAAACCUCUUUUGUCAGGGAACAAAAGCGAGUAUGUAUACUAGUCUGAGUGUACCUGAAGAAAAAGCAUCGGCUAACUCCGUGCCAGCAGCCGCGGUAAUACGGAGGAUGCGAGCGUUAUCCGGAUUUAUUGGGUUUAAAGGGUGCGUAGGCGGCGGUGCAAGUCAGCGGUAAAAGCCCGGGGCUCAACCCCGGCGAGCCGCUUGAAACAUGCAGUGCUAGAGAAGGCGAGAGGUACGCGGAAUGCGCAGUGUAGCGGUGAAAUGCUUAGAUAUUGCGCAGAACUCCGAUUGCGAAGGCAGCGUACUGGCGCCUGACUGACGCUGAGGCACGAAAGGCGUGGGGAAUCGGAACAGGAUUAGAUACC
rnacentral:rRNA from 1 species